rnacentral:misc_RNA from 1 species
AUUGUAGCGAGAUGGGUUCUUAGUGGUCUGUUUGCUAAAGACGUUGCUCUUACAGGGAGAUUCCGGAGAAAUUGGUCUUUGAAGUGUUUGUGAUGUCGUCGCGAGGUCGGAGCUCUCGCUAUUCCCGUUCUCGCUCUCGUUCACCUCGCUAUUCAUCCCGCCGUUGCUCCCGUUCCCGUUCCUUAUCCCCUCGUGGGCGCUAUGGGAGUAGUGGGACCUGUAGCCAGCGGCGGCACUCGCAUAGUCGGUCGCCCAUGUCCAACCGUCGCAGACACGUGGGGAGUCGUGACGCGCCCGAGGUGACGAAUUGUUUGGGCAUCUUCGGUUUGAGUCUGUACACGACGGAGCGGGAGCUGGAGAAGGAGUUUUCCAAGUUCGGGCCCAUCGAAAAGGUGACUGUGGUGUUGGAUGGCAAGACUGGAAGAUCUCGAGGAUUCGCCUUUGUGUAUUUCGAGUCUCUGGAGGACUCGAAGGCGGCCAAAGAGGCCAUGUGCGAUCAGGAGAUUGAUGGGCGUCGGAUACGAGUGGACUAUUCCAUCACGAAGCGCCCGCAUACCCCCACGCCUGGGGUGUACAUGGGACGACCCACUUUUUAUAGCCGCGGGGAAAGGGGAUAUCGUGGGGGAGGAUAUAGGCGGUCCCCAUCUCCCUACUACCGCAGGGAGAAUCGCAGGAGAGAUUACAGGUCCAGGUCCAGGUCCUACUCCCCACGAUAUGUCAAGAAAUUUUAAUCAAGAGAAUUUUGAAGCAAAUUUUAAGAAGCAUUAUCCGGGUCCAUUAAAUAUAAUUGAAUUGGAUUGUCCUAAAUUAGUAUCCCGUAUAGAUUAGCAAUUUAUAAGGUCUUGUUAGUUCACUGGUGAGACAGUAUAAUUAUUCACACUAAUACAUGAUUAUGUAUCAAGUUUGAAAAGAUAGAGUUGAGUCAUCAUCUGUUACGACAUGAAUACGCUGACGCUUUUUUAUUGGGAUUCUAAUUUUGGACGACUUUCUCAAUAUGAGGGUAUCAACACCAAAUUAUUCACAUAUCUGCGGUAGUAUUAUUUCAUGACUGAAUCGUAGGGAAACGUUCCUUUAAUUUAUUUAAAUAGACUCGUAUCUGGGACAUUUCAGAAUUUUUUUUAUAAAUUGUGUUUGUUUCAGAAAUUCCAUUUAAUUUAUGAGAAAAUUUGCUCAUAGUAACAAUACUUGAAAUGUAUAUUAGAAAUAGAAAUUAUUUGGCGUUAAAAAAAUAUUGCCCAUAUAUGGUGUAAUACUUGAUCAAUAAAUUUUUUUUAAUUUGGCUGUUAAUGUUAGUGACUGGAUGAUUUUGUGUUGGUGAUCUCAUAUGUUUAAAUUAUUGAAACUUAAGGUAUUGAGGGGAAAUCUAAAAUUGUUGAAUUAAGUUGGCGAAAGAAAUAUAUUUGACUAUGUUAAAUUUGAAGAUUUUUGUCUUCGAUCAACUAAAGAAUAACAAACCCAAUGAUGUUACAAAUAAUCUUGUUAAAAAUUUGGACUACAAUGUUUAAGAAUACAUUAUUUUGUUAUUGCUUAAACCGGAAGAAUGGCUGUUUGGUGUUACCCUAGGUCUGAAGGUGUGUAUUUGGGCUAGAGUUGUGUGAGAUAUACCGUUUCUUCUUUUAAAUGAUGACAGCUUCAUUGACUUUGAUUAAUCACUGGUCUCUUUGGUGAGUUGAGAACCUUUGGUUAUGUGAUGUUUUUAUAGUUUUCAAUCUGAUAAAAA